GUGAAUAUUAAUCAACGGCAAUAAAUGCCAUUUAUUCAGGAUUGUGAUUCCUGUUGUCGUGGGUUCGAGCCCCAUCGUCCACCCCA
rnacentral:tRNA from 1 species